GUGAAGGGCUUCUGCUGUGAGAAAAAAGUUCCUCCGUGAAGGAGGGUGCAGAGCCUGGUUUGCUGAGAGCCACUUCCCUCAUCAUCUGAACAAAAGGACAGGGAGGGAAUGUUGGAGGAGAAGAGCUGGAAAGGCGUCGACGAAGCAGCUUUUGACAGGGGGUGUGUGGCUCCCCCCAGGAGCGGCGAUGGGGAGAGAUGCUGCCGCCUCCCCCUGCUGCUGGGCUCGGGGCUGCCCGGCGUCUCCCUGCUCUCUCUGGUGCUCAGCCUCCUGCUGUACUUUCGGACCUCCGACCUGCAGUCCCGCGUGUCCCACUUGGAAGCGGGCAGACCCGCACAGCUCCCUGCCUGGCUCUCAGCAGACCAAAUGGAGACGGCUAUUUUGGGAAGAGUUGACCAACUGCUCAAUGAGAAAUUGAAGUUCCACUUGCCAAGACAUCGAGAAGUUCGAGACACGCACCAGCGCUGCAACUGCCCGGCAGGUAGGGAUCUGGGACAGCUGCCACUUUGGGAGGUGACAAAAACUCUUCUGCCUGCACCUCGUUGAAG
rnacentral:lncRNA from 12 species